AGACGCAUCGCCGUGGUGGCAGCAUCUCGUCCCCCUAGAGUACCCUGUAUUUCUUUUUGUUGCUCUUUUCCGCUGACCAUACCCGCGCUGUCUCGCGUGCGGCUCUCCGCCUCCGUGUCGUUCCAUAGAUCCGCUUUACCUCCCCAGCUACGUUCGAAGUGGGAGCAAGGCACGCGAGGACGCCUCUCCGCACGGGUGCCAGCCGCCGUUUCCAUUCGGUUGCCCUUUUCCACAUCCUCGGCGCUCCUCCCUUUCGCCCAUCCUCUGCCCAGUGUGCAUCAUGGCAUCCACUUCCGGACCGGCCUCGCUCGAGGAAGCGGCGUUGGCCUCCCUCGCUGACUACUCCCCAGAGCAGCUCCAGAUGGCCGAAACUGCCCUCCGUGCGGUACUGACGGAGAAGGUGCAGGCCCUUGCGACGGAGCAUGGCGAUGCCUUCAUCCAGGGCCUGGUGCAGAAGGAGAUCGCCAGGACAAGGAAGAUGGAGACGGAGCUGGCGAACGUGAAGAAGAGGCUGGGCGUGCAGGAGCGCUCCGUGGACAGCGUGCGGAUGGACGUGCGCAAGGUCAAGGCGCAGGAGGAGAAGUCCAAGUACAUCUGCCAAAACCUGCAAGAGACGGCGAGGAAGCGAGAGCAGCUGACGGAGAAGAUGCAGCCAGAGAUGGAGGCCUACCGCAGCGAUGUGCGGGAGCGCGUGAGCCAAAACGUGCAGAGCAUCUGGGCAGAGUGCGAGAAACGUCGCGAGCGCGUUGAGACAGUCGAGGCGGAGGUGCAGGGGCUCGAAGCGAGGCUGAUGCGCCAGAAGGAAACGUUUGAGCAGAACUUUGCGGAGUUCCAGGAUGGACUGAAGGGGCGCACGGCGGAGUACCAGGAGCUCAUUGUAGCCUAUCAGGAGGCGACCAAGGAGGUGGAGCUGAUCGAGGCGCAGCUCAUGCUGGUGCGGCGCGAGCGCCAAUCGGUGGAGAUGACGCGGGCAGCCCUGCAGCAGCAGCUGGAGGUGUACGAGAAGCAGUUCGAAGGGUUCGCCGAGUCUGUCAUGAAGCCGGCAGACGUCGAGGCGCUCGCAAAGCGCCAACACGAUCAGGCGCAGAUGCGCAUCACCGAGUUGGAGGCGGAAAAGGCGAAGGUGCACCAGCAGCGCCUUCAGAUGGACAAGGAGUUGACGGAUCUACGCGCCAAGCACGCGUCACUGAAGCGCGAGAUGCAGCAGCUGGAGAAGGCGAAGACAGCGGCGGAGAAGAAGUGCCGCCAAGCCCAGCAGAGCCGACAGGAGAAGAAGUAGAUGCUCUAAACAGGCGCGCCUGUGUCUCCGUGAGCGCGGGUUGGCUGGCUGGUGUAUCAUCAUUGAUCAGAUGCGUUGCUGAUUUCGGAUUGCGCGUCUCUGUACAGAGGGAGUUGUGCGUGUUCUGUGAGAUUCUCAUGACAUACGCGCACAGGGCCAUACGCACAG
rnacentral:misc_RNA from 1 species